AACGAACGCUGGCGGCGUGUUUAAGACAUGCAAGUCGCACGGGAUCACAUGAGUAGCAAUACGAGUGUGGUUUAGUGGCGCACGGGUGAGUAACACGUGAAUUACAUGCCCUUCAGUGGGGAAUAGCCCAGGGAAACUUGGAUUAAUACCCCAUGGUCUCGCAAGAGUAAAGGUGGCCGCAAGGCUGCCGCUGAGGGAUUGGUUCGCGCCCUAUCAUCUUGUUGGCGGGGUAACGGCCCACCAAGGCUACGACGGGUACCUGGUCUGAGAGGACGAUCAGGCACACUGGAACUGAGACACGGUCCAGACACCUACGGGAGGCAG
rnacentral:rRNA from 1 species